CCAGCUACUCGGGAGGCUGAGGCAGGAGAAUGGCAUGAACCCGGGAGGCAGAACUUGCAGUGAGCCGAGAUCGCGCCACUGCACUCCAGCCUGGGCGACAGAGCGAGACUCCGUCUCAAAAAAAAAAAAAAAAAAAAGGACAGGGUUUAAAAUGUCUUCUUCCCAGCAUUGAGGUUUCAGGCAGACCUAUGACAAAAUCAUCAAUAACAAAGCCCAUCACAAAUAGAUUUCCUGCAGGGUUCAAGGCUGCACACACCUUUGAUUCUGACAGCUGCCAGGAAUGUCUGGCCAUGCCCUUCUCAGGGCAGGACGGGCUUUGGGGCAUGGGGAGUCAUGCCUAAAGCAGGCUUGCCUUACAGCUAGGAGCAGGGAAGAGAAAUUGAACAUUACAGAUGAGUUGAAGCCUGCUCUUCCCCUCCCCACUGGUGUUCCACUGUGUCUCCCUCCCUGCAGGCAGCCGUGAGGAUCAGUUUGGUGGGCAUCCUUCUGAGGGGGUCUAUAUUCCAGAGGUUCACUUUACCGCAUCUGUGUAUACGCAUGUGUCAUAUUGUCUUCUUUUCUUUCUUUUUUUUUUUUUUUUGAGACGGAGUCUCGCUCUGUCGCCCAGGCUGGAGGCAGUGGUGUGAUCUCAGCUCACCGCAACCUCC
rnacentral:lncRNA from 1 species